UACGGGGGGGGCAAGCGUUGUUCGGAAUUACUGGGCGUAAAGGGCUCGUAGGUGGCCAACUAAGUCAGACGUGAAAUCCCUCGGCUUAACCGGGGAACUGCGUCUGAUACUGGAUGGCUUGAGUUCGGGAGAGGGAUGCGGAAUUCCAGGUGUAGCGGUGAAAUGCGUAGAUAUGACAUAGAACACCAAUUGCGAAGGCAGCUCACUACACGCAUAUUGACUCUGAGGCACGAAAGCGUGGGGAUCAAACAGG
rnacentral:rRNA from 1 species